rnacentral:lncRNA from 1 species
GAAGAGAACUCGGAAAUGAUCCUUGUCUACGAGUUUAUGGAGAAAGGUACGCUUAAGGAGCAUCUAUAUGGCUCGGAUUUGCCUUCACUGACAUGGAAACAGAGACUAGAGAUCUGCAUCGGAGCAGCCAGAGGUUUGCAUUAUCUCCACAGUGGCUCAGAAGGAGCAAUCAUUCACAGAGAUGUCAAAUCCACAAACAUACUACUAGACGAGAACACCGUAGCCAAAGUUGCCGAUUUCGGGCUCUCAAAACUCGCGGUUCGUAAUCAAGAUCCGAUUAAUAUCAGCACUAACAUCAAAGGAACAUUCGGUUACCUCGAUCCUGAGUAUCUGCAGACACACAUCUUGACGGAGAAAUCAGAUGUUUACGCUUUUGGAGUCGUUCUCCUCGAGGUCUUGUGCGCGAGAUCGGCUCUCGAUCCUUCUCUUCCUCACGAGGAAGUGAAUCUAGCCGAGUGGGCGAUGUUCUGCAAAUCCAAAGGGAUAAUCGAUGAGAUCUUAGAUCCGAAAUUGAUAGGUCAGAUCGAGCCGAGUUCGUUGAGGAAAUACAUGGAAAUCGCGGAGAAGUGUUUGAAAGAGUACGGAGACGAGAGGCCGAGCAUGGGGGAUGUGAUCUGGGAUCUGGAGUAUGUUCUUCAGCUUCAGAUGAUGCCGAUUCGCAGAGAGCCUCAUGAGGAUAGCGCCGCGACGAUCUCCG